GAUGAACGCUAGCGGCAGGCUUAAUACAUGCAAGUCGAACGGGAUUCGAGGUAGCAAUACUUUGAUGAGAGUGGCGCACGGGUGCGUAACGCGUAUGCAACCUACCUUUAACAGGUGAAUAGCCCCGAGAAAUCGGGAUUAAUACACCGUAACAUUGCGCUGUGGCAUCACAGUGCAAUUAAAGAUUUAUCGGUUAAAGAUGGGCAUGCGUGACAUUAGCUAGUUGGUGAGGUAACGGCUCACCAAGGCAACGAUGUCUAGGGGUCCUGAGAGGGUUAUCCCCCACACUGGUACUGAGACACGGACCAGACUCCUACGGGAGGCAGCAGUAAGGAAUAUUGGUCAAUGGGCGCAAGCCUGAACCAGCCAUGCCGCGUGCAGGAAGACGGCCCUAUGGGUUGUAAACUGCUUUUGUCAGGGAAUAAACCUGUCUACGUGUAGACAGCUGAAGGUACCUGAAGAAUAAGCAUCGGCUAACUCCGUGCCAGCAGCCG
rnacentral:rRNA from 1 species